UACAGAGGUCUCAAGCGUUGUUCGGAUUCAUUGGGCGUAAAGGGUGCGUAGGUGGCGCUGUAAGUCAGAUGUGAAAUUUCGGAGCUUAACUCCGAAACUGCAUUUGAUACUGCGGUGCUUGAGGACUGGAGAGGAGAUUGGAAUUCACGGUGUAGCAGUGAAAUGCGUAGAUAUCGUGAGGAAGACCAGUGGCGAAGGCGGAUCUCCGGACAGUUCCUGACACUGAGGCACGAAGGCCAGGGGAGCAAACGGG
rnacentral:rRNA from 1 species